GACGAACGCUGGCGGCGUGCUUAACACAUGCAAGUCGAACGGAAAGGCCCUGCUUUUGUGGGGUGCUCGAGUGGCGAACGGGUGAGUAACACGUGAGUAACCUGCCCUUGACUUUGGGAUAACUUCAGGAAACUGUGGCUAAUACCGGAUAGGAGCUCCUGCUGCAUGGUGGGGGUUGGAAAGUUUCGGCGGUUGGGGAUGGACUCGCGGCUUAUCAGCUUGUUGGUGGGGUAGUGGCUUACCAAGGCUUUGACGGGUAGCCGGCCUGAGAGGGUGACCGGCCACAUUGGGACUGAGAUACGGCCCAGACUCCUACGGGAGGCAGCAGUGGGGAAUAUUGCACAAUGGGCGGAAGCCUGAUGCAGCAACGCCGCGUGCGGGAUGACGGCCUUCGGGUUGUAAACCGCUUUCGCCUGUGACGAAGCGUGAGUGACGGUAAUGGGUAAAGAAGCACCGGCUAACUACGUGCCAGCAGCCGCGGUGAUACGUAGGGUGCGAGCGUUGUCCGGAUUUAUUGGGCGUAAAGGGCUCGUAGGUGGUUGAUCGCGUCGGAAGUGUAAUCUUGGGGCUUAACCCUGAGCGUGCUUUCGAUACGGGUUGACUUGAGGAAGGUAGGGGAGAAUGGAAUUCCUGGUGGAGCGGUGGAAUGCGCAGAUAUCAGGAGGAACACCAGUGGCGAAGGCGGUUCUCUGGGCCUUUCCUGACGCUGAGGAGCGAAAGCGUGGGGAGCGAACAGGCUUAGAUACCCUGGUAGUCCACGCUGUAAACGGUGGGUACUAGGUGUGGGGUCCAUUCCACGGGUUCCGUGCCGUAGCUAGCGCUUUAAGUACCCCGCCUGGGGAGUACGGCCGCAAGGCUAAAACUCAAAGGAAUUGACGGGGCCCCGCACAAGCGGCGGAGCAUGCGGAUUAAUUCGAUGCAACGCGUAGAACCUUACCUGGGUUUGACAUGGAUCGGGAGUGCUCAGAGAUGGGUGUGCCUCUUUUGGGGUCGGUUCACAGGUGGUGCAUGGCUGUCGUCAGCUCGUGUCGUGAGAUGUUGGGUUAAGUCCCGCAACGAGCGCAACCCUUGUUCACUGUUGCCAGCACGUUAUGGUGGGGACUCAGUGGAGACCGCCGGGGUCAACUCGGAGGAAGGUGGGGAUGACGUCAAGUCAUCAUGCCCCUUAUGUCCAGGGCUUCACGCAUGCUACAAUGGCUGGUACAGAGAGUGGCGAGCCUGUGAGGGUGAGCGAAUCUCGGAAAGUCGGUCUCAGUUCGGAUUGGGGUCUGCAACUCGACCUCAUGAAGUCGGAGUCGCUAGUAAUCGCAGAUCAGCAACGCUGCGGUGAAUACGUUCCCGGGGCUU
rnacentral:rRNA from 1 species